AGUGAACGCUGGCGGUAGGCCUAACACAUGCAAGUCGAACGGCAGCGCAGUAAGAGCUUGCUCUUACGGGUGGCGAGUGGCGGACGGGUGAGGAAUACAUCGGAAUCUACUUUUUCGUGGGGGAUAACGUAGGGAAACUUACGCUAAUACCGCAUACGACCUACGGGUGAAAGCAGGGGAUCUUCGGACCUUGCGCGAUUGAAUUAGCCGAUGUCGGAUUAGCUAGUUGGCGGGGUAAAGGCCCACCAAGGCGACGAUGCGUAGCUGGUCUGAGAGGAUGAUCGGCCACACUGGAACUGAGACACGGUCCAGACUCCUACGGGAGGCAGCAGUAGGGAAUAUUGGACAAUGGGCGAAAGCCUGAUCCAGCCAUACCGCGUGGGUGAAGAAGGCCUUCGGGUUGUAAAGCCCUUUUGUUGGGAAAGAAAAGCAGCAGGUUAAUCCCCCGCUGUUCUGACGGUACCCAAAGAAUAAGCAUCGGCUAACUUCGUG
rnacentral:rRNA from 1 species